rnacentral:rRNA from 1 species
AUUGAACGCUGGCGGCAGGCUUAACACAUGCAAGUCGAGCGGAGAUGAGGUGCUUGCACCUUAUCUUAGCGGCGGACGGGUGAGUAAUGCUUAGGAAUCUGCCUAUUAGUGGGGGACAACAUUCCGAAAGGAAUGCUAAUACCGCAUACGUCCUACGGGAGAAAGCAGGGGAUCUUCGGACCUUGCGCUAAUAGAUGAGCCUAAGUCGGAUUAGCUAGUUGGUGGGGUAAAGGCCUACCAAGGCGACGAUCUGUAGCGGGUCUGAGAGGAUGAUCCGCCACACUGGGACUGAGACACGGCCCAGACUCCUACGGGAGGCAGCAGUGGGGAGUAUUGGACAAUGGGGGGAACCCUGAUCCAGCCAUGCCGCAUGUGUGAAGAAGGCCUUAUGGUUGUAAAGCACUUUAAGCGAGGAGGAGGCUACUGAGACUAAUACUCUUGGAUAGUGGACGUUACUCGCAGAAUAAGCACCGGCUAACUCUGUGCCAGCAGCCGCCGUAA